CCGUAACUAUAACGGUCCUAAGGUAGCGAAAUUCCUUGUCGGGUAAGUUCCGACCUGCACGAAUGGCGUAAUGAUGGCCAGGCUGUCUCCACCCGAGACUCAGUGAAAUUGAACUCGCUGUGAAGAUGCAGUGUACCCGCGGCAAGACGGAAAGACCCCGUGAACCUUUACUAUAGCUUGACACUGAACACUGGUCCUUGAUGUGUAGGAUAGGUGGGAGGCUUUGAAGUGUGGACGCCAGUCUGCAUGGAGCCAUCCUUGAAAUACCACCCUUUAAUGGCUGGUGUUCUAACGUGGGCCCGUAAUCCGGGUUGCGGACAGUGUCUGGUGGGUAGUUUGACUGGGGCGGUCUCCUCCUAAAGAGUAACGGAGGAGCACGAAGGUUAGCUAAUCCUGGUCGGACAUCAGGAGGUUAGUGCAAAGGCAUAAGCUGGCUUGACUGCGAGAGUGACGGCGCGAGCAGGUGCGAAAGCAGGUCAUAGUGAUCCGGUGGUUCUGAAUGGAAGGGCCAUCGCUCAACGGAUAAAAGGUACUCCGGGGAUAACAGGCUGAUACCGCCCAAGAGUUCAUAUCGACGGCGGUGUUUGGCACCUCGAUGUCGGCUCAUCACAUCCUGGGGCUGAAGUAGGUCCCAAGGGUAUGGCUGUUCGCCAUUUAAAGUGGUACGCGAGCUGGGUUUAGAACGUCGUGAGACAGUUCGGUCCCUAUCUGCCGUGGGCGCUGGAGAAUUGAGGGGGGCUGCUCCUAGUACGAGAGGACCGGAGUGGACGCAUCACUGGUGUUCGGGUUGUCAUGCCAAUGGCAUUGCCCGGUAGCUAAAUGCGGAAGAGAUAAGCUGUCUCUUAUACACAUCU
rnacentral:rRNA from 1 species